CCUACGGGAGGCAGCAGUGGGGAAUCUUGCGCAAUGGGCGAAAGCCUGACGCAGCAACGCCGCGUGUGGGACGAAGGCUCUCGGGUUGUAAACCACUUUCAGCAGGAACGAAAUUGACGGUACCUGCAGAAGAAGCACCGGCCAACUACGUGCCAGCAGCCGCGGUAAUACGUAGGGUGCAAGCGUUGUCCGGAUUUAUUGGGCGUAAAGAGCUCGUAGGCGGCUUUGUAAGUCGGGUGUGAAAACCCCAGGCUCAACCUGGGGACGCCACUCGAUACUGCAAUAGCUAGAGUUUGGUAGGGGAUCACGGAAUUCCUGGUGUAGCGGUGAAAUGCGCAGAUAUCAGGAGGAACACCGGUGGCGAAGGCGGUGAUCUGGGCCAAUACUGACGCUGAGGAGCGAAAGCGUGGGGAGCAAACAGGAUUAGAUACCCUGGUAGUCCACGCCGUAAACGUUGGGCACUAGGUGUGGGCCUUUAUCAACGGAGGUCCGUGCCGCAGCUACGCAGUAGUCGCCCGCCGUGGGAGGUACGGUCGCGAGAACGUAAACGUAAAACGGAAAGUUAGACGGUCGUGAGACGUUGUCCGAACGGACGACGACGAGGGGAGGUAGGG
rnacentral:rRNA from 1 species